rnacentral:misc_RNA from 1 species
AUAUAUAUAUAUAUAUAUCAGUGUACAAAGAUAUCGAAGAAAACAACGAAAACCCGUUUCGAAAACCCAAAACCCACGUCAGAAAUCAAUUAAAGGACAUAAAAAAAUUUCCCUUUCCCAUAAUGAUUCCAUUUGGGUUGGUUAAAGGAAUUUGAGGUAGCAUUUUUUGAAUCAAUUUUGGGAUUUGGGUUUUGUGAGAUAAAUGCGAAUGGGAAUGAGAGAAACUGGAAUAUCAAAAUAUGAAUAGGUGGGAGAGGUUCGUUGUUCUUUUCUGAGGACUGUUUUGGAAUGAGGAGGUCAGGUGGACGUCGUACGGUCUGUUACUGACUGUUCACGCUCACGCCAUUGCGAUGAAGCUGAGUCGGCACUACACACACAAUAUGAGAAAUAAAGCGCAGAGAAAAG